GCAAGCCAGGAAGGAGGAGGCAGCCAGAGUGUUCUCUGCAGCAGAAGACCCCUUGCUGCCCUGCUUAACCCAGACCAGCAUUUGCCAGGGGGAAAUGGUCCAGACAACUGAUGUAUGUUCCUCUUUCUGGCUCGUCUCCCAGUCCUGCAGCCCCAGGGAGCUCUGAGAACACACCCUCGAGGAUUUGGAUGCUGCUGCUGAAUUCCAGACAGGAUGGAGGUGCUGUAGGAGAGCCAAUCAGGCUGAAGGGAUUUGACCAGUUCUGGAUGGGCUCACAUUCCUCUUGAAAGAGUCCAAUUCAAGGUGCUGGUUUUGACCUUUAAAGUCCUUAAUGAUUUGGCCCUGGAUAUCUGAAGGACUGCCUGCUCCUAAGGAGUUCUGCCUGCUUGACAAGAUCAUCGGAGAGGGCUCUGCUCCACAUGCUGAUGGUGAGAGAGGCUUGGCUGUGAAGCAACACGUAGGACAAGGCCUUCUCAGUCAUUGCCUCCAGGCUUUGGAAUGCUCUCCUGGCUGGCAUCCGCUCCUCAGGCUCCAUAACAGGUCUUAGAAAACUAGUAAAAAUGUGGCUCUUCACCCAGGCUUUUCUAUGAGAGCACAGUUUUGACUGCUGCUACUUUGUGUUUUUUGUGUUACUGUUUUAUAUAGAUUUUUAAACUUUUAAAUAGAGAUAUAUUAUUUUUAUAUUUAUAUUUAAAGUCUGUACUUUUUGAAUUUUAAUUAUGCAUUGUUUUAAUUGUUUUGUAAACCACUUUGGGAUUAUUUUAAUGAAAAGUGGUAUAGAAAUCAAGCAAUAAAUAUACUGCUUUUGCAACACGCCCCCACCCCCCAUGGAAUUGACCUGUGAUUAUCAAACAGGUUUGAAUAUUUCGCCCAAAGACAUCCAAAUAUGAUGACUUCUUUCCUUCUUGUAUAUUUUAAAAAUUCCUUGGAGGAAUAGAUUGGGUGUUCCCAAUAUACUCUUAACCUUAGUUGUGAGUUUUCGACUCAAGAUCUUGUGGCAUUUCAAUUUCAUCUCAGCUGUUACAAUAACUGAGGCAGAGCAAAGAGCUCCCUUCUUCUACAUGAACAAUUAUGUCUUUAUUCUGGAGUUGUAUGAAGUUGAUGGGCAGGAGGAGGGCAUUGUUUUAGAUGGGAGAGGUAUAAUACCAGUCCAAAUUAAGCAAUAAAAUCAUUGCUGGUGAAAAGAGGCCUUCAAUGUCCAGAUGUUUUAAAAACAAACACUAUGCAGAAUAUUUACACUGCACAAAACAAGAGUAAAAAUCAGCAGCUUUGUGUUAUCAUU